rnacentral:rRNA from 1 species
CCUACGGGAGGCUGCAGUGGGGAAUAUUGGGCAAUGGGCGCAAGCCUGACCCAGCAACGCCGCGUGAAGGAAGAAGGCUUUCGGGUUGUAAACUUCUUUUAUCAGGGACGAAGCAAGUGACGGUACCUGAUGAAUAAGCCACGGCUAACUACGUGCCAGCAGCCGCGGUAAUACGUAGGUGGCAAGCGUUAUCCGGAUUUACUGGGUGUAAAGGGCGUGUAGGCGGGAGUGCAAGUCAGAUGUGAAAACUAUGGGCUCAACCCAUAGCCUGCAUUUGAAACUGCUUCCCUUGAGUAUCGGAGAGGUAAUCGGAAUUCCUAGUGUAGCGGUGAAAUGCGUAGAUAUUAGGAAGAACACCAGUGGCGAAGGCGGAUUACUGGACGACAACUGACGGUGAGGCGCGAAAGCGUGGGGAGCAAACAGGAUUAGAUACCCCAGUAGUC